rnacentral:rRNA from 1 species
UACAGAGGUCCCAAGCGUUGUCCGGAUUCAUUGGGCGUAAAGAGCGUGUAGGCGGCCCGACAAGUCCGCUGUGAAAGUCCAGGGCUCAACCCUGGAAUGCCGGUGGAUACUGUCGGGCUAGAGUCCGGAAGGGGCGAGUGGAAUUCCUGGUGUAGCGGUGAAAUGCGCAGAUAUCAGGAGGAACACCAAUGGCGAAGGCAGCUCGCUGGGACGUGACUGACGCUGAGACGCGAAAGCGUGGGGAGCAAACAGG